GGAGACCGGAGCCGCGAGCGCCACCAGGGCAGCAACCGCCGCAGCCGCCGCCGCUGGGCUGAGGAGUCGGAGACGCAGGCGGACGAGGUGGCGGCGGCGGCGGAGCGGGAGCGGGGACCGGGAGCGGGCAGAGCGCGGCGGCGCGGGUGUAUUCUAGAGAACAAGUCUUCAAACACCUUUGCCGUAUUGACUCUGAGCUGUCAGGGGACUCAGGCUUAUGAGGAGGUACUGUCACAGAAAACAGUGUCUAGUGAAGACGACAAGAAAGAGGGAAAAGGAUCGGAAGAAGAAGCUAAAAUACUGUAGAAAACCAUGAGAUCUAUUAGAUCUUUUGCCAAUGAUGAUCGCCAUGUUAUGGUGAAACAUUCAACAAUUUAUCCGUCUCCGGAGGAACUUGAAGCUGUUCAGAAUAUGGUGUCUACUGUUGAGUGUGCUCUUAAACAUGUCUCGGAUUGGCUGGAUGAAACAAAUAAAGGCACAAAAGCAGAGGGUGAGACAGAAGUGAAGAAGGAUGAGGCUGUAGACUCCUAUUCCAAGGAUCAAGGUGGUCGGACAUUAUGUGGUGUAAUGAGGAUUGGCCUGGUUGCAAAAGGCUUGCUGAUUAAAGAUGAUAUGGACUUGGAGCUGGUUUUAAUGUGCAAAGACAAACCCACAGAGACCCUGUUAAAUACAGUCAAAGAUAAUCUUCCUAUUCAGAUUCAGAAACUCACAGAAGAGAAAUAUCAAGUGGAACAAUGUGUAGAUGAGGCAUCUAUUAUAAUUCGGAAUACAAAAGAACCCACGCUAACUUUGAAGGUGAUACUUACUUCCCCUCUAAUUAGGGACGAAUUGGAGAAGAAGGACGGAGAAAAGGUUGCGAUGAAAGAUCCUCCGGACUUAUUGGACAGGCAGAAAUGCCUGAACGCCUUGGCGUCUCUUCGACAUGCCAAAUGGUUUCAGGCAAGGGCAAAUGGAUUAAAAUCAUGCGUAAUUGUCCUCCGAAUUCUGCGUGAUUUGUGCAACAGAGUCCCCACAUGGGCACCAUUAAAAGGAUGGCCACUAGAGCUUAUAUGUGAAAAGUCUAUAGGUACUUGUAAUAGACCUUUGGGCGCUGGGGAGGCCUUGAGACGAGUAAUGGAGUGUUUGGCAUCUGGAAUUCUACUUCCUGGGGGUCCUGGUCUUCAUGAUCCUUGCGAGAGGGACCCAACAGAUGCUCUGAGCUAUAUGACCAUCCAACAAAAAGAAGAUAUUACCCACAGUGCACAGCAUGCACUCAGACUAUCAGCCUUUGGCCAGAUUUAUAAAGUGCUGGAAAUGGACCCCCUUCCAUCUAGUAAGCCUUUUCAGAAAUAUUCCUGGUCAGUUACUGAUAAAGAAGGUGCUGGGUCUUCAGCUCUGAAGAGGCCAUUUGAAGAUGGAUUAGGGGAUGAUAAAGAUCCCAAUAAGAAGAUGAAACGAAACUUAAGGAAAAUUCUGGAUAGCAAAGCAAUAGACCUUAUGAAUGCACUAAUGAGGCUAAAUCAGAUCAGGCCUGGGCUUCAAUAUAAGCUCUUAUCUCAGUCUGGCCCUGUCCAUGCCCCAGUCUUCACAAUGUCUGUAGAUGUGGAUGGUACAACAUAUGAAGCCUCAGGACCAUCCAAGAAAACAGCAAAACUUCACGUAGCAGUGAAGGUACUGCAGGCAAUGGGAUACCCAACGGGCUUUGAUGCAGAUAUUGAAUGUAUGAGUUCCGAUGAAAAGUCAGAUAAUGAAGGCAAAAAUGAAACAGUGUCUUCAAACUCAAGCAAUAAUACUGGAAAUUCUACAACUGAAACCUCCAGUACCUUAGAGGUAAGAACUCAGGGCCCUAUCCUCACAGCAAGUGGCAAAAAUCCUGUAAUGGAGCUCAAUGAAAAAAGAAGAGGUCUUAAGUAUGAACUCAUCUCGGAGACUGGUGGAAGCCAUGACAAACGCUUUGUAAUGGAGGUAGAAGUAGAUGGACAGAAAUUCAGAGGUGCAGGUCCAAAUAAGAAAGUGGCAAAGGCAAGUGCAGCUUUAGCUGCCCUGGAGAAGCUGUUUUCUGGACCCAAUGCAGCAAAUAAUAAGAAAAAGAAGAUUAUCCCUCAGGCAAAGGGUGUUGUGAAUACAGCCGUGUCCGCAGCAGUCCAAGCUGUUCGGGGCAGAGGAAGAGGAACUCUGACAAGGGGAGCUUUUGUUGGGGCCACAGCCGCUCCUGGCUACAUAGCUCCAGGCACCAGAUGCUAAUGGCAAUUUUAACAACAUUUACUGAGAGACCCUGUGCUGGGGCCCAAAAUUCGGAUUUCAACAAGACAUGGACCUUGCCCUCGAGCCCACAGCCUGAUCUGUGCGCCCUCUUCAGUGGCAGUUGAGGCUUUAGCCUGCUCUGUCACUGCUUUCUGAAAAAAAGACUUGGAAAUUCCUAUUUUCCAACUGUGAGAAAUUGGUAACUUGAGUGGUUCUAAGUAUUCUUUUGUUGAACAAAUUAAAUGUGUGAGUGGUUACUAUAUGCCAGACAUUCUGCUAGGUUCAAGUGUUGCAAAGAUGUAUAAGACUUGAGUCUCUGCCAUUCUAGGGGGGAACACAGACAAAGGGUUGAUAAUUAUAAUACAAUGUGGUAAGUGUAGUGAGAAAGAAACAGGAUAUUCUGGUAGGUCAGGAGAGCUUGGUAGGCCGUAGUAAAAAGCUUCCACUCUGCAUAGGCAUGGAGGAAUCUCGGUGGACUCGGGCCAUUCUGGGAAGGGUUCUGGUUGAGCCAGCACCUGGAAGGAGCCCUUGGGGCCCAAGGCGCCGGGCCGGGUGGUCCUUGUGAAUCGGGCUGGCGCUGACUCUGCCCUUUUUCCUGGACUGAUGUGCUUUCUCCUUCUUUGCACCAGGCUAUGGAACACCAUAUGGUUACAGCACAGCUGCCCCUGCCUAUGGUUAAUACUUUUAAGCAGUUUUCAGCACGUUUAUCUCACUUUAUUCUCGUUCUCCUUGGACCUUCGUAGCCAUAUCACUUGUAUAAAAUAGGCUGAGAUAUAGUGACUGUAAGCUGUGGUCUCAGUAUACAAAGGUAAGCGCUUUUAUUUUCUGAUUAAAGAGAAAAUUAAAAAUCGAUGAACACAACAUGCAUAUAUGACAAUCAUAUAUGAUGUAUUUGAUCUCUUAGGUCUUAUCUCAUCACAUUACUUUAACAUUUUUAAUGAUCUAAAUGUGAAAUAGUUAUUUUCAGCAUUUUGUUUUUAAUACCCUUAUAAUUACUUUCUCUUUGAGAGACAUUUCACUUUUGAGUUAAGUGUGUGUAUGUGUAUAGAAACUUAUAACGUAUAUGCGAAUUACACACACUUACCUGUUUAAAUAAAAGAAUUUGGUGGUGGGAAGUGUUCACCUAAGAAGAUUUUUACGUCAGGGCAAAAAGUGCUGGAAUUUCAUAAGCAGCAAGAUUGGUAACAGUGCUGGUAGGACCCAUUUAUAUGUAGCUGUUACAUAAGCUGAGGAUCCAAGUGCCAAUUUCUCAAGGAGAGAGACUUCUCUGAGAAAUGAGUAUCUCUGAUCUGUGUUGUAUGCCCUAAUACAACAGCAGCAAGAAGCCAUAAAAAAAAAAAGCAAUAGCAAAUGAAAAAACCAAACUAUUAAGGUAACUAUGGAAAAAUAUAAAAUUGACUAAGCUAAGUAUUUGCAGAAUCAAUUAUGGCAAGACUCAGAAUGGUAAAUACCUGGUGUGCAGAGACCAAAUAGAUGUAAGGCAAUUCAUCUUUCUUUUCCAGAUUAGAUAGAUGAUUUAUUUCCCACCUGAUUCAACCGUCAUGGAGUUCAUUUAAAAGAUGUGAGGGUUAGGCCAAAUAUUUUUAAAAGGAUUUGCUUCUUCGUUACGUGUAUUCAUUCCAUAAAUGCAUUUCAUAUGUGUUAGAUGUUCUGUGCUAAGGUUGUACUUGAUAUAUAUAUAUAUAUAUAUAUAGAUAGAUAGAUUGAUUAAA